GGGGACUCGGGGGAAAAUGGACUGAGGGGACUCAGGGGAAAAUGGACUGAGGAUACUCUCGGAGGAUGAACUGAGGAUACUCGCGGAGGAUGCACUGAGGAUACUCGGGGGAGGACGGACUGAGGGGAUUCGGGGAGAAUGGACUGAGGGGACUUGGGGGAAAAUGGACUGAGGGGACUCGAGGGAAAAUGGACUGAGGGGACUCGCGGAGGAUGCACUGAGGAUACUCGCGGAGGAUGCACUGAGGAUACUCGCGGAGGAUGGACUGAGGUUACUCGCGGAGGAUGGACUGAGGAUACUCGCGGAGGAUGGACUGAGGAUACUCGGGGGAAAAUGGACUGAGGGGACUCGGGGGAAAAUGGACUGAGGAUACUCGGGGGAAAAUGGACUGAGGGGACUCGCGGAGGAUGAACUGAGGAUACUCGCGGAGGAUGGACUGAGGAUACUCGCGGAGGAUGGACUGAGGAUACUCGGGGGAAAAUGGACUGAGGGGACCCGGGGGAGGAUAGACUCAGGAUACUCAGAGAGGAUGGACUGAGGGGACUCGGGGGAGGAUGGAUUCAGGAUACUCAGAGAGGAUGGACUGAGGGGGCUCGGGGGAGGAUGGACUCAGGAUACGCAGAGAGGAUGGACUGAGGGGACUCAGGGGAGGAUGGACUGAGGAUACUUGGGAGAGGAUGGACUGAGGAUAUUCGGAGAGGAUGGACUGAGGGGACUCGGGAGAGGAUGGACUGAGGAUACUCGGAGAGGAUGGACUGAGGGGACUCGGGGGAGGAUGGACUCAGGAUACUCGGAGAGGAUGGACUGAGGGGACUUGGGGGAGGAUGGACUCAGGAUACUCAGGAUGGACUGAGGGGACUCGGGGGAGGAUGGACUCAGGAUACUCAGAGAGGAUGGACUGAGGGGACUCAGGGGAGGAUGGACUGAGGAUACUCGGAGAGGAUGGACUGAGGGGACUUGGGGGAGGAUGGACUCAGGAUACUGAGAGAGGAUGGACUGAGGGGACUCAGGGCAGGAUGGACUGAGGAUACUAGCGGAAGAUGGACUGAGAAGACUCGGGGAAGAGUGGACUGAGGAUACUCGCGGAGGACGGACUGAGAAGACUCGGGGGACGAUGCACUGAGGAUACUCGUGGAGGAUGGACUGAGAAGACUCAGGGAGGAUGGGCUGAAGAUACUCGGGGAGGAUGCACUGAGGAUACUUGGAGAGGAUGGACUGAGAGGACUCGGGGAAGAAUGGACUGAGGGGACUCGGAGAGGAUGGAUUGAGGAUACUCUGGGGAGGAUGCACUGAGGGCGCUCUGGGAAGGAUGAACUGAGGAGACUCAUGAAUAGUCUCCCACUACUCUAUCAGAGAUAACCACAUUUUAGCAAACACUCCGUUGGAGUCACCCCAUGCACACAUGUGUACAUGCAGCCAAGCCUUUUCCCACGCUAUUAGCUGGUGCAAGUUCCAUCCCUGGAUUUUAAGCAUGGGUCGCCUGGAAGAGCUUUGUUAGAGGAAGAAGAAAGAGGUGUAUCUCAGGAAAAUCCUGGUUCCCAAAGUUGCACAUUAUGUCAGAUGUACCUGUCUUUGACGGCUGGGAGAGCGGACAAGACCCUGCCCCAGCCCUGGCCAGGAAUGGUGGCUGGUGAGCCCCUAGUUGCAGGCAACCUGGACCUGUCCUCGCGGCACCUGAAGAGGGGAAAGGAGACUUGAGGAGAAUGACUGUCCCCAGGCGACCGCCCAUGAACACCUGAGCACCCAUCUGAUAAACAGCCUGGAGUCACUGGAGAGUGACAGCUUCCAUGUAUAUUCAUAUAUGCUCACCAUUAUUUUUCAUAACCACAUCACAUUGCAUCAUUUUAAUGUAUCAUAAUUUUCUCAACCAGCCCCAUCCAGAAGCUUCUUAACCCAAUCUCUUUCUAAGGCCCUCCAAAGGGCUGGAAGAGGGAGCAUCUUUAUUUUGCUGCUGCCAUCAGGGGUCUUGGGAGAGUCCCCUUGGAUCCUGAUUUUUCAGGGCUUGAUACCUGAGAAUAACUGACAGAAAUUUUGAGAACUGUGCCCCCAGUAAUAACAAUAAUUAACAUUGUUUUCAGUACUCUGGGCCAGGCACUGUUCUAAGCACUUUGUACAUAUUAUCUAAGUGACUCUUCACAACAACAACCUUCUGAGGGAGGUACUACUUUUAUCUCUUUUUUAUAAAUAGGGAAACUGAGGCUGAGAGAGAUUAACUUGUGCAAGAUAACACAGUAAAUGGUUGUGCUGGGAUUUGAACCAGGCAGUCUGGCACCAGCAUCCACACUCCUUCUUUCUUUCUUUCUUUCUUUUUUGAGAUGGAGUCUCGCUUUGUCGCCUGGGCUGGAGUGCAGUGGCGCGAUCUCAGCUCACUGCAAGCUCUGCUUCCUGGGCUCAUGCCAUUCCCCUGCCUCAGCCUCCUGAGUAGCUGGGACUACAGGCACCUGCCACCACGCCUGGCUAAUUUUUUUUUGGUAUUUUUAGUAGAGACGGGGUUUCACCGUGUUAACCAGGAUGGUCUCGAUCUCCUGACCUCAUGAUCUGCCCGCCUUGGCCUCCAAAAGUGCUGGGAUUACAGGCAUGAGCCACCGCACCUGGCCCAGCAUCCACAUUCUUAAUCACCAAUUUGUCUAGUUGGCUGAAGAGUUUAGCUGGUUAUUGAUAAUAAGCAGUAUGUCUUCUUGAUCAUUCCUCCUAAAUUUUGGUAGAUUAUAUUUUGAGGCUUGUACUUACGGGAAAAAAAAGAGAGAAAAGAAAAUCUGACACUCCUCUAAAGAGUUCAAGAGUCUCAGAUUCUCUGGGUCCGUCAAUCCUGGGCAGAACCCUGCUGACUGGUUGAUAUGCCACAGGUUAAUAUUUUGAGUUGUUCCUGGGUGGUGUGGCCUGCACAUACCCGCCCCCAAGCUCUCCUUACCACCCUCUCCAUGCCCUUAGAUAGAAAUGACAAUGACUAUUCCCAUUGCUGGUAAAGGGUCAUCAUACCCUUAUCCAUCCUAUACAAAUACGUUUCUGCAUAGAAGCUACUUGCCUUGCUGGGUCAAAACCAGUGGUUCUAACUAGAGAGGGCCAUGAGGCUGCCUAGUACUGUUCAGUCGUGUAUGGUGACGCUGGUAACACACUGGAAUCACUGAGACACUUCUGUAAAGUGCAGAUGCCUUGGGUCCUAUCAAAAGGAACCAUGGGAGUGGGGCCUAGGCUUGCAUCCUUUAAGAAUUGUCCUUAGUGAAUCAUGUUGCAUCUUGGCCAAGGACUCCUGGGAUCCCAAUUGGUUUCAGCCCUAGGUUUUCUCUGCCUCUACUGCCAGCUUGCAGGACUCUUCCUACUCAUUUUGGGGAUGUUUGAUGCAAAAGUUGAUGCUGUGUGGGUGCAGACUUCCAGGAGCAUGUUGUCUGAAACCUGCAGUGAUUUCAGGCUGAGGCUCUUCCUGCUGGGAGCCAGGGACAAGAGUGGAUUAAUGUCAAGGGUCCCAUGAUUGUGGACAAUCCCAGAGACACUAUAAAUAGAUGGAGAGAAGCUGUUUCUUCUUUUCUCCUCAAGGAAACCACCCAAACAGAAACAUUUCAUACACUUGCGAUUGAGGAAUGCAGUUGGCCACUCAAGCUUAAGAGAACGUUGGAGUUUUUUUGUUUUUGUUUUUUCCUUUUUUUCCUUCUCUUUCUCAUUUUCCUUGAAGGAGGAUUAGAAAACACACACAGGCACAGGCCACAGGUGCGCACGCGCGCGCACAAACACACACACACAAACACACACACGAAUGCUUUUUCUUGAUCUGAAAGAGCACUGUCGAGUCACUAAGUUGAUUGUCCUUCUUUCAGUUCAGCAUGCCCUGCCAAAUCUUACCCAUAGAACAGAUGCCUGUGGCGCUGCGGUGGUGCCCAACAGCUCUGAGUUUCAGCCUCUUCUUCCUGGGACUUAACCUCUCACUCUCCACUGCUGUCCUUUGAACACACAGGAGUAAAUUGGUGAGCACCAUUCAUUCAAAUGCACGGUGAGAAGUGUAGUGGGGAGAUGCAAAAGAAGAAUGAAAUAGCCCACAGAAGAUUUCCACACAAGCUGAUAAAUAUACACCUGUGGUUCUCGUUAACCACAGGAGUCAGUGUGGCCCUGUGUGAUAUAAUAAAGAAUAAACCUUUGGUCUCUGCCCCUAGUUCCUGGCACCGUGCUCCUGAAACCCUUGUACUUUCCUAAGUGAUAGUCGUGCUAGGAGCAUCUUUUGUUCUAAUAUUUAGUCUUUGACCUUGGUUCCUGACACAGAGCUCCUAAAUCCCUUGGAAUUUCCUGGAUAAUAGGUGCAUCUUUUGUUCUAAUGAGGUGACUCUUGGUGGGCCCCUGGAUGGGGGCUGCUCACUAGAAA
rnacentral:lncRNA from 1 species